UGCCUACGGGACGCAGCAGUGAGGAAUAUUGGUCAAUGGACGAAAGUCUGAACCAGCCAUGCCGCGUGCAGGAAGACGGCUCUAUGAGUUGUAAACUGCUUUUGUACAAGGGUAAACCUGAAUACGUGUAUUCAGCUGAAAGUACUGUACGAAUAAGGAUCGGCUAACUCCGUGCCAGCAGCCGCGGUAAUACGGAGGAUCCAAGCGUUAUCCGGAUUUAUUGGGUUUAACGGGUGCGUAGGCGGAUUGAUAAUUUAGCGGUGCACUGUCCGGGCUCAUCUCGGGAACUGCCUCUAAUACUGUUG
rnacentral:rRNA from 1 species